UGAUAUGGAUCCAAGCUCUAAGAGGCCUGCUGACCGGUGCCUUUCCAGCUAUUCUGCUGGAUUGAGCAACUGGAGAAGGAGAAGACCCGAGGUUACACAGAGGGAGAAGGACGCUCAGCUGUCUUGGUGUCCAGCUGAGCCCAGCGCUCUGGCUGUCUCUGCAAAGGUGCCAUCUUGGGCGUUCUGGCCCAGCUGAAGCCCUGUCCCCUGACAACCCAGUGGAACCCGGUCAACCUCAGAAUCACGAGAGGCGACAGGACAACAGCAUAAGGCAGGGACGGUGUGGAGGCCAGGCGACUGAGGCCCGGAGAGGUUGGAAUCCUGAGGUGGUCUGGAGAUCCAGCCUCCGUUUGUCUGUCCCCACCCACCAGUGGUCCUGUGGAUGCUCUAACGGGGCGCUGGGGCUUCUCCCCUCCACCUUCUGCAAGGGAGAGGGGCACCUUGACCUGAUCUGUGCACAGAGCUGAAUUCCUCGCAGGAGCAGCGCUGCAAGAUGCUGURAAGAGACGGGAGAGUGUCCGGCAGCCCUUUGAACAGAGGGAUACUGGAGACAUCAGUGGGUUAACUUCACAACCAACGGACAUAGUUUCUAUGGGAAAAUACACUGUAAACCCCAAACAACUGACUUGGAAACAGACCUGGAACUCAGCCUGCGUAUAAAUCAGGGGCUGAGCUGUGAGCGUUG